rnacentral:lncRNA from 1 species
AGGGGCCACACUCACGUGUCUGAGGGAAGUGAGGGGAACUGAGGAGGAAGCUGCGUCCACGGAGAAGGGGCCAGAGGGGCAAAGAGGAGCCGACGUCAUCACUAACGUGAGCCCACAUGACUAGGGCCCCGGAAGCCCUAGAGACUUGGAUUCUACUCUGAGCUAAAUCCGAAGCCUUUAAUGCACGCCCAGCAAAGGAGUCACAUGAUGGCACUACAAGAAAAAGGUCUGCUGGUGGCUGCCGCAAAUGCUCUAAAUGCAGAUCGAUAAUGCCAGUUUGGACCCAGAGAGCAGAGAGGACAAGAAGGCUGAGUCAGGAGGAGAUCCGGAAAGGCAGUGGUUCGAGAGGAAGGUGUGCAUACAGCUCCUCAGCCUACCUAUCCCCUCAGGCCCACACAAGGAUGCAGAUCAAGCUGCCAGGGAGCCCUUCCUGGGAAACGCAGGAAGAGAAUAAACCAACUGCCAACCUGUCACGGACACAGUUCCUCAUGAGAGCUGGGUGACCAACAAAGCUCCGGCUCUCUGUGACCACAGCCUAGCAUCUCAGCAGGUCCUGACAUGCCUGUCUGGCUUCCAGACUCCCAGACUCUUCCUUCACCUUGCUGAGGUCCAUGCUCCUAGGACAGGGCAUCCUCAUUUUUUUUUGGU